GAAAGUGCGCUAACAAAUAAAGGACUAUUAGGUUUCGUAAACAAAUCGUAGAAGGAGAAACGAACGUCUUCAAGAAUUAAUCGAUUUUAAGCAAAUGAAUGACUUUAUGAUGACCGGCACCACAGCGCAUUAAUUAAUAUUUUUGAAUAAUUGGAUAAAAGAAUGAGUCGAGUGCUAAUAUAGCAAGCAAUGCAAUGCAAUGAAAUAAUAUGUGAAGGAGAACCUGCUCAAAGAAAUAAUCUAUUAACUGUAUAAGGAAGAGAUACCAGUCUUUUCCUUAAGACAAACAAUAUAGGACCAGCCUAAUAUAUCAAAGAAAAAGGAUCCGAAGAUACUAAAACUUUGUAACGUUGAAAUUCAAAGUGUUUAGAUGAUUUGUUUACAAUAAAUUCAGGACCACAGCGUUUAGUAUAUAAAUGCUCUGAAUACCCUAACCCUUGGUUACUAUGGCUACC